UGCCUCCUUUUCUUUUCUCCGCCGCUCCUCUCGUUGCCUGACUUGCCUCGAUCUCUCUCGUCCCCUCUUUUCUAGCGGCGGCGACGACAGGGCGAGCGGCGCCACCCUUGGUCAAGUUUUCGUCGGGUGCUUCGCCGACGACGAGCAGCCGGCAGGCGACCGUGUUCUGAUUCUCCUGGAUUGAGGGGAUUGCUCAUUGGAGAUUCAUCUUGAGGCUGGAUUUCACAAUUUUAUGGCCUUUGACUGCAACAAGGCAAGAGGAGUUUCUUUGCCUAAUAAUCGCUCCAGUAUUUGCACCGAGGGUACUAUCAUCCAGGCAAAUCCCUUAUCUCACUACUGGAAGGCUAAAGGUUGGAAGAGCCGCGACAAAUUAGGGAACCAGAAGUCCAGUUAUGGAUCAAUUCCAAGAGACUCUAAUACAAAGAAAGCUGAUGAAGCGAGUGGUGAAGCCACUGCCUCGACCUGUGGUAUCAGGUGCUUCACCGAUUUGCCAGCUGCAUUGGUCUGUGAGGUCCUGGCACGCCUUGACGCAAAGGAGCUUGGAAUUGUAUCUUGUGUCUCCACCCUUCUGCAUACUUUAGCCACAGAUCAUCAGGGAUGGAAGAAAUUGUACUGUGAAAGAUGGGGGCUUCCAAAUCUUCCUGCCACCCUAAACGGGCCCGUGGUUCCAGGUAGUCCCCUAGAUGGGAAGUCCUGGAAAACAUUUUUUGUGGAGCGGGAGUUUCGAAGUAAAUCAUUCAUGGGGAAAUGCAAUGUGGAUGUUCUUCGUGGCCACAAUGAGGAUGUACGUGCCGUGUUCCUUCUGGCAUCAGCAAAUCUAAUUUUCACUGGUGGUCGUGAUUCUGUGGUUAGGAUGUGGAAUAUGGAGGAAGGGCUCUUGAUUGAUUCAUCCCAUCCACUUGGUGGCACCAUCAGGGCCGUUGCAGCUGACACUAGGCUUUUAGUGACUGGAGGAACCAAUUCCUAUAUUCAGUGUUGGAGGGCUGUUGACGGGAAUGUUCACCUAUUCCACAUCUCUGGAAAUGGUACUGAUCAGACUUCAGAAUUUCGCCUCUGGGGCCAUGAAGGUCCUGUGACUUGUCUUGCUUUAGAUUCGUUGAGGAUUUACAGUGGUUCUUGGGACAUGACUGUUCGUGUUUGGGACAGGACCCACAUGGAGUGUGUGCAGAAGCUCAUGCAUGCGGACUGGGUUUGGGAUCUUGCUCCUCAUGGAAACACUAUUGCUAGUACAGCUGGUAGAGAUGCAUAUGUGUGGGAUAUCAGGAACAGCGAGUUGACAAGCUUAAUUUCCAAUGCACAUGUUGGAAACACGUAUUCUCUGGCUCGGACACACUUGGCUAAUGUGCUAUUUACUGGUGGAGAGGAUGGAGCUAUUCGCUUGUUUAAUGUUUCUGAUGUCUCUGAUGAUGAUGAGGACAGUAAACCAGUUGCUACUUGGGUGCCACAUUCAGGCCCUGUUCAUUCUCUUGCUUUUGAGUAUCCAUGGCUUGUCUCAGCCUCGAGUGAUGGUAGGAUUGCACUGAUUGAUUCGAGGAAGCUUCUAACCCCAAAAAAAUCAUCAAAGGGGCCUUUCAGCGUUAAGAGCUUUGAUGCAAGCGCUAUAGAGCCUCCGCAGAGGAUGCUUCAUGGCGUUGGAUGUGAUCUCUUCUCCAUUGCCAUUGGUGCAGAUAGGAUUGUAUGUGCGGGCGAGGAUGGUGCUGUCAGGGUCUGGAACUUCUCAGAAGCACUGGAGAUUGAGAGGAGGGCACAAGCUCUAAGGAGUUUGAGGCAGGAGAACCGCAUGAGGCGGAGGAAGGCACAAGCAGAGAUGAAUGCAAAUGGUAGAAGGCCUGACCAGUGCUCAAUAGCCAUGAAAAAGAACCAACUGAAGGGUGAUAAGAGUGUCACUUAGGAAAACAAGCGCGCCAUUAAUGAGAAGAUUACAUUUUUGCAGUUUGGGAGAGAUGAAGGACAUACACCACUGCAUUAUUCCUUAGCCAUAUUGAUCUAUCUAGGACCACAUUUGCUGCAGGAUGGCCCAGUGAACAGGGAAACAAGCAGGUGAAAAUUACUCGGGUAGGUAAGCAAGAUGUUUGAUUUUCCUAUGAAGAAUGAUGCUACCCACCAGUUGUUUGGAGUUGCGGUUCAUCCAUCAGCUUAGUCGUCAUGCCCUACAUAGCUCCUCCAAAAUGUCAACUUUGCUCAGCUGGACUCAACCAGUACAUUCUUGAGAUCGAAAUGCAGGAUGUGCAAUUCAGUAAUAGCCUUGCUUUCUUGUUAAAAAGGUCACACAAUCCUUUUCUCAAAAGCAGAAAAAUAUAGUGACAGGAUCACAAAACAGAGUAUCGGUAGUCUUCUCUACAACUCAGCUGAACAUAAUUCUUUCUAGGAAAUUUAGCUCAUAUUUUCAGUAGUUCAAAACUGCAUUCCAUGCUCUGAUUUUGGCUGCCUGAAUUGACUUGCACAGUUUGAAUC